AUUGAACGCUGGCGGCAGGCUUAACACAUGCAAGUCGAGCGGAGGUGAGGUGCUUGCACCUUAUCUUAGCGGCGGACGGGUGAGUAAUGCUUAGGAAUCUGCCUAUUAGUGGGGGACAACAUUCCGAAAGGAAUGCUAAUACCGCAUACGUCCUACGGGAGAAAGCAGGGGAUCUUCGGACCUUGCGCUAAUAGAUGAGCCUAAGUCGGAUUAGCUAGUUGGUGGGGUAAAGGCCUACCAAGGCGCCGAUCUGUAGCGGGUCUGAGAGGAUGAUCCGCCACACUGGGACUGAGACACGGCCCAGACUCCUACGGGAGGCAGCAGUGGGGAAUAUUGGACAAUGGGGGGAACCCUGAUCCAGCCAUGCCGCGUGUGUGAAGAAGGCCUUAUGGUUGUAAAGCACUUUAAGCGAGGAGGAGGCUACUGAGACUAAUACUCUUGGAUAGUGGACGUUACUCGCAGAAUAGGCACCGGCUAACUCUGUGCCAGCCGCCGCGGUAAGAC
rnacentral:rRNA from 1 species